GGAGAGGUGGCCGGGCCGGGCUCUGGCUUGCCGGGGUAGGGGCUCCGCUAGGGGCUGGAGUCCGUCCCUUCGCCGGCGCAGAGCCCCUCGGCCCGCAUCUGCCAAGUGACUGAGGAUCGAGCGACAGCGUAGUGGGGCGGAGGGGCUGGAGGCACGGCCGGAAAGGGUGAGCCGCGCCGUGGCUCCCCCGCUAUUUAUUUGGCCCCGCCACGCGCGGAGAGGGAGGAAAUUCUCAGGCUGCGGCUGCAGCUAGGGGAGGCCCAGGUGGGCCUGGAAUGGGCCCAGAGAGGGCUUCCUGGGUCAGACGUGUAGAUCCAGUGGACGUGAAAACCGGGUUUCGAGCUCGCCGGGCCGUGCCGCGCCAUG
rnacentral:sRNA from 1 species